UUCCUCUGCAGCUCUUCUGACCAGACCCACCCACUUGUCCUCCUUCUGUUUUCGUCUUCCUCGAGGCUGCCCUUCCUCGACCAGAGCUGCUGAGGUGUUGCAGCCGUGUCGCCGCACCUCUGACCUCCUGCCCGCCGAUGUUCGUGCGCCAUGGAAGGAUUGGGUUGAGGCAGCUGUUCAUCGAACAGAUCUAGAUCGUUGGUCCCUGCUUCAUUCGCCCGUCAUCCGUGAUAUAGGUUCCGUCCGUUUAUUUGUCCGUCCACCACGUCUAGCUUCAACGCCCUGCCUCUUUCUGCUGAGGUAUGUCAGCUCUUCCUCUAUAUCCUUUUACGGUUGAUUGGCCUGGUUGUCCGCAUGAUCUGAUUCGAUGGUGGUUGUUACAGUUCAUGUGUUUGUUGAAAUGUAGUGAGGAGAUGAUCUUGUUGUAGACGCUUAGAUUGUGUUUGGGUUCGUUUGCUGCGCACUUAUUUUUUCAUGGACGCGUUAUCUUCUGACUCGUCUUGUUCCUGGAGCGCUGCACACUGGCGCGAACGAGUUUCAGGUCGUGUUGCUUGGUGCGUCUAUCUUCGGUCUUAUUUACAUUAUUAUCGUUUUAGGGUACUUUUUUUACGAUUUUUCUCUAUGCUAGCUGCCUUUUAUCCCUGAUAUAAGCUGUCUCCUGGGGAGAUUGUGGACAGAUCGCAGUUUGUUGGUGUCUAGCCGUACACCUCUGUUGCUUUUUUUUUGUCCUAUGGAUGCAUCUUGAUCUGAUAUUGGUGUCGAUCCAGGCCCUGGUCUGCAAUUUUAGUCGGCAGGAACGGCAACAUGGUUGUUUAUCUUUUCUAUUGUUGUAUACGUAUUAGAAAGGAAUACUAAAAGACUCACCAUGCUCUUUCUUUAUUUCUUUCAAAUAUGCAAACACUGAUAAGCAAGAUAAACAAUUCUUUUUUUUUUUUUGAGAAACACAGUACAAACGCAGGCGCUCACAUACACGCGCAUACACUCACCCCUAUGAACGCACACACGCACACCCUACCCCUAUGAGCACCUUCGGAAGACCGAGCCGGCGGAUUGGAUCUUGAAAUUGACGAAGUCACCACAGGCGCCUCGCUGUCGACGGGAACGUCGCCUCCCACUGAAAGAAUAUUCCGCUUUUAUGAGACACACAGAUGUCAAACCUGGGGUUUGAACUCUGGUGGGCUGGGGGUACAACCACCCUCCUAACCACCCAACCUCAGGUUGGUUCUCAAGAUAAACAAUUCUGUUGUCUCUCCUCUACCAAUUAAACAUUCGGGUGCACUGUAAGACCAAUAAUUAACUUUUAUGCAGUUUUUGUGAGCUAUUCAUGAAAUCUGAAAUUUGCGUGAUGCAUUUAUUUUCUCUAAUGCAAUAGACGGCUUAUCAGAAGCAUUCUGUGUAAAAGUCUAGAUCGCAAACCAAGUGUAUG